rnacentral:rRNA from 1 species
CCUACGGGAGGCAGCAGUGAGGAAUAUUGGUCAAUGGACGAGAGUCUGAACCAGCCAAGUAGCGUGAAGGAUGACUGUCCUAUGGGUUGUAAACUUCUUUUAUAUGGGAAUAAAACGUUCCACGCGUGGGCUUUUGUAUGUACCUUAUGAAUAAGGAUCGGCUAACUCCGUGCCAGCAGCCGCGGUAAUACGGAGGAUCCGAGCGUUAUCCGGAUUUAUUGGGUUUAAAGGGUGCGUAGGUGGAUGGUUAAGUCAGUUGUGAAAGUUUGCGGCUCAACCGUAAAAUGGCAGUGGAAACGGGCGGGCUGGAGUUGGAGAGAAGUACGCGGAAGGCGCGGUGUAGCGGUGAAAUGCUUAGAUAUCGCGCAGAACCCCGAUUGCGAAGGCAGCGUGCCGGCUCCACACUGACGCUGAGGCACGAAAGCGUGGGUAUCGAACAGGAUUAGAUACCCCAGUAGUC